GGAGGAAGAAGGUUUUCGGAUUGUAAACUCCUGUCGUUAGGGACGAUAAUGACGGUACCUAACAAGAAAGCACCGGCUAACUACGUGCCAGCAGCCGCGGUAAAACGUAGGGUGCAAGCGUUGUCCGGAAUUACUGGGUGUAAAGGGAGCGCAGGCGGGAAGACAAGUUGGAAGUGAAAACCAUGGGCUCAACCCAUGAAUUGCUUUCAAAACUGUUUUUCUUGAGUAGUGCAGAGGUAGAUGGAAUUCCCGGUGUAGCGGUGGAAUGCGUAGAUAUCGGGAGGAACACCAGUGGCGAAGGCGGUCUACUGGGCACCAACUGACGCUGAGGCUCGAAAGCAUGGGUAGCAAACAGGAUUAGAUACCCUGGUAGUCCAUGCCGUAAACGAUGAUUACUAGGUGUUGGGGGAUUGACCCCCUCAGUGCCGCAGUUAACACAAUAAGUAAUCCACCUGGGGAGUACGACCGCAAGGUUGAAACUCAAAGGAAUUGACGGGGGCCCGCACAAGCAGUGGAGUAUGUGGUUUAAUUCGAAGCAACGCGAAGAACCUUACCAGGUCUUGACAUCCGAUGCAUAGCACAGAGAUGUGUGAAAUCCUUCGGGACAUCGAGACA
rnacentral:rRNA from 1 species